rnacentral:tRNA from 1 species
GCCGCCUUAGCUCAGUUGGUAGAGCACAGCAUUCGUAAUGCUGGGGUCGUAAGUUCGAGUCUUACAGGCGGCACCA